CAGCAACCAGUUAAAAUAACCAGGUUCCUUUUCUCAGGGGGACUUUGUGUGCCAGUGCUGCCAGCAGCCGCUCCCUUGGGAAUGCAUGCAGCCUCUUGCUUGUAUGGGUUCUGCAGGCACCCCUGAAGACCAUU
ensembl:snoRNA SNORA70 Small nucleolar RNA SNORA70